UUUUGGCUAGUGACUGCUUGCCUUGCGAUUAAGCUUGGUCGGUGGUUGUUAUCUGUGUGGUUUCGGGGAUGAUUACCGUAAAGGUGCAUGAGUGGUGUUUGGUUUGUUACGGGUGGUUGGCUCUUUGCUUGCGCAACAACUUCCACCUGGCAUACCUCUUCAGUUUUGUGUUAAUGACUGUAUCUCAUUGAACGCAAUGUGGGUUUCAUGUGUUGCAUGCCUAUUGAUGGUAUUGUACGAAGAAAUGAUGCUUUUUCGUCUUGUGUCGCACAUGUGAUGCGAGAUGAACCUUAAAGCAGCCUUUGUGCUCCACUUCUUUGAUGCACACGCAUUGAUUUUGUGGCUCACUAAGCGUUGGUUGGUAUCAUCGAUAUGGAAACCUUUGUGGGCAUGGGAUCUUUAAGUAGAUCCUUGUUUUGCCCUGGUUAAGCUUUUCAAAUACGAUUUUCCUAUCACGUCUUGACGUGGUAGGCUACAUCGAGUAUGAAUG
rnacentral:misc_RNA from 1 species